AAAAAAAGAAACAUGGUUAAAAAAAACAACAAAUAUUUAUUUUGAUUAUUUUAUUUUAAAUAUCAAUAUGUUUCAAUUAUUGUUCUCUUUCAGUUAGAAUAUGACUUUGUUACCUUGACCUUAUUGAAUAUGAACAAUUUCCCCAUGAUAGCUUACAUAAUACUGUCAAGCACUUUGAAUAGUCGAGCGUGCUGUCUUCUGACAGCUCUUGUUUAUAUAGUUAUACUGCAAUUGGUAUGAAGAAAAAGGUUUGCAUAUUACAGCAAGUAAUUGUUUAUAUAUUUCUUUUUAAAUCGCGCCAGCUGUAUUACUUUUUAAACAAACUUAUAGUGUUAUGUGUAAAAUAUGAAAGUGUUUCCUUUAAUAUGUAAUUUGAAAACAGGAAACAUUAUUAUUUAAUUAAAUUUUUAAUUGUAAAUAUGUACAUUUAUGAAUACUGGAUUUAUUGUGGAAUAAAAUGGCACCACUUUUGGUUACACAUUAGGGUUUCGAAAUUGUUUCUGCCGAUGUCCAACAGUUCUCAUCCUGUCUUUUCUUCCGUUUGGUUUUAUGUUUUUCAUUUAUUUAUAUUAUUUAAUACAUCUGAGAUGUAAAUCUUAACUUGGGAAAUAUAUAUUUAAUACUUAUCUGUACUUCCAAAAAACGAUACUGUGGACAUCAUCACUAUGAAGUUAUUGCUUAAUGUAAAUUAAUCCUAUUUCGUCAUUUUGUGGAGCCAAAUCCAUAGAUUAAAGCGGUAUUCGUUUGAGAUCAUACAAGUAGAUAGAUCUCAAAACACAUUUAAAGAAUGUGUUUUCAGUAUUCACAAUUAUUCAAUGAUUGUGUUGUGUUAAUUGUGAAAACACACAUUUUUGUUGCAACAACUUUUGGUUUUGGCUCUCGAGAACAAAAUAGAUACGUUUAUUUUAGGAAAACUUUAAACACUGAAGCCAUAUAUCGAGACCUGGUAAUGAAUUGCAUAGCGUGGAUUGGGGUCAACGUUAAAAAAGUUCAGACCAAUAAGUCCAUACCUAUUGCUACAGACUCCUUAUAUCGGGGUUUCUUUGGAAUUACAUGUAAGGUGGAUUGGGUUGAAGUCAUGGUAAAUGUUCCAAAUUUAUUUUUUUAGUUUCUGACAAAGACUAGAUUAAAGCAUCUGUAUGAUGUAACUUAAUACAAACAUGCAUUUUAUCUAGACUUCGGAAAUGCAUAUGAUUUGGUUUGGGUAAAAUAACAGGUACUAAAUUAAAAAAACACUUACUAAUUAAUGAAUCGAGCUAGUGUUAUGACACUUAUCGACAUGAAAUUGCACCCAGGCUUAGUUUUGUCAAUUCGAUCUCCACUUAGUGGAUGGAAACACAAAGUUGACCUACCUUACCAGAUUAAGCUAACCCACAUUUGUCUUGCACCAUUACCACAUGCUUUCAUUCAGGGAACGUUGCCUUUCCUCAGUCCUGUUCAAAUAUAUAAUUUUGUAUUAUACAGGCAACUUCUAUAUUCACAGCAUAUUUAUUAUCCCCACGCUUUUUUAUAAGCGUGGGGAUAUUGUGGUUAUCUCUGCCGUCUGUCCGUCCGUCCUGGCCACUGUCUCCUCCUACACUAUUAACACUAGAACCUUGAAAUUUACACACAUGGUAGCUAUGAGCAUAUGUGCGAUCCUGCACUAUUUGUAAUUUUGAUCUGACCCCUGGGUCAAAAGUUAUGGGGGUUGGGGUGGGGCCGCGUCAGAGAUUUUCACUCAUUUUUUUUAGGUUAUUUUACAUUAACUUCUUCAUUUCUACACCAAUUUACUUCAAAUUGAUACUGAACCUCUCUUAUGACAAUACGGUCGAUCUCAACUGUGCAUGGCCCCAUUACCAACCCUGGGGCGCCCCACCCACAUAAACCACACCCACCCAAAAUUGCCUUUUACUAUAACUUCUUCAUUUCUACACCGAUUCACUUCUAAUUGAUACUGAAUUUCUCUUAUGACAAUACGGUCAAUCUCAACUAUGCAUGGCCCCAUUACCAACCCUGGGGCGCCUCGCCCACAUAGGCCACACCCACCCAAAAUUGCCUUUUACUAUAACUUCCUCAUUUCUACACCUAUUCACUUCUAAUUGAUACUGAACCUCUCUUAUGACAAUACGAUCAAUCUCAACUAUGCAUGGCCCCAUUACCAACCCUGGGGCGCCCCGCCCACAUAGGCCACACCUACCCAAAAUUGCCUUUUACUAUAACUUCUUCAUUUCUACACCGAUUCACUUCUAUUUAAUACUGAACUUCUCUUAUGACAAUAUGGUCAAUCUCAACUAUGCAUGGCUCCAUUAACAACCUUGGGGCGCCCCGCCCACAUAGGCCACACCCACCCAAAAUUGCCUUUUACUAUAACUUCUUCAUUUCUACACCGAUUCACUUCUAAUUGAUACUGAACUUCUCUUAUGACAAUACGGUCAAUCUCAACUAUGCGUGGUCCCAUUACCAACCCUGGGGCGCCCCUGGGUCAAACAUACGGUGUGGGGAUACGCGUCAGCUUCUGCCGCGCCAUUUCUAGUUUAUAGUGUUUUUAUUGCUAAAUAAUAUAUAGAGAAUAUUUGUAAAAUUUGUUGGAAUAUCGAUUGAAUUAACAAGCGAUCAUAGAAAAUAAUAUUUUCACGAGUGGAGCAGCCACGAUUGAAUAUAUAUUUUGUCUAUGAUCACGAGUGAAUAUAUAUUUUGUCUAUGAUCACGAAUGAAUUAAAUUCGCUACUUCACUGAAUCCAACAAAUUUUCUUUUAAUUUUGUGCUUUUGUCAGCUUGUAUUUACAUUGUUAAAAGAUUUAACGGGAGAAAUUUGCUUCAAUAAUGACGUCAUUAUGUUAAAAAUCGAGUCAUUUCACAGUGAAUCAGUGAAAAUUAUUGAUAUUUUCAUUUUCACUGUUUGAAACAGUGGAUGAUCAGUUUUAAUGCACUAAUAUUUGUCUAUAAACAACUGGAAAGCAUUAAAUGAAAAGUGUUGUUUGAUUGUGGAAUGUAAAGCCAACUUGAAAGCUGAGAGGCAUGACAAGUAUGUACGUGUAGGUCAUUGCUUGCUGUUGUCUUCUAGAUUGUGUAGCUUAAUAAUGACAUUAUCAAUUGUUUGUUUUAAUGUGUUUGCACCAUUCUAUGUGCGUGUAAUGCUUAUUGUAUAUAAUCCACAUUGAAACAAAUGUAGUAUUAUGAUUGGUAGUAACAUUUAUUGUGCACGUACCCUUCUAUUAUAGUUAAGUCUCUGUGACAUAAUCAAAUUUGCACCAUUAGUUUGUGUUUAAUGAUGAAGAUUGGUAUUUGUAAAUUUAAAGCUUUUUAUAUAUCCAUGUUAUAACAUGUAUUUGGUUGAAGCUAUGAUAAUACGUACAUGAUUUUUAAAGGAGGGCUUAAGAGAUUAUUUGUAUGCCCCCGAAGGUGGGCAUUUAGUGAUCGCACUGUCCAUCUGUCUGUCUGUCUGUCACACUUUUUUUUGAAAAAAUGCUCAGAACUUCUAUGUCGCUUCAGAUGUAACCUUCAUAUUUGGUAUGCAUGUGUACAUGUAUAUGGACAAGGCCUUUUCGUAUGCACACAAAUUUUGACCCAUUUGACCUUGAACUUAGGGUCCGCGUUUAGGUUUCAAAAUCUGCGUUUAGGUUUCGAAAAAUGCUCAUAACUUCUAUGUCGCUUCAGAUGUAACCUUCGUAUUUGGUAUGCAUGUGUAUAUGGACAAUGCCUUUCCAUACGCACACAAAUGUUGACCCCUUUGACCUUGAACUUAGGGUCCCCGUUUAGGUUUCAAAAUCUGCGUUUAGGUUUCGAAAAAUGCUCAUAACUUCUAUGUCGCUUCGGAUGUAACCUUCAUAUUUGGUAUGCAUGUGUAUAUGGACAAGGCCUUUCCAUACACACACAAAUUUUUACCCCUUUCACCUUGACCUUUAACUUACGGUCCCGAAUUAGGUUUUGAAAUCUGCGUUUAGGUUUCGAAAAAUGCUCAUAACUUCUAUGUUGCUUCAGAUGUAACCUUCAUAUUUGGUAUGCAUGUGUAUAUGGACAAUGCCUUUCCAUACGCACACAAAUGUUGACCCCUUUGACCUUGAACUUAGGGUCCGCGUUUAGGUUUCAAAAUCUGCGUUUAGGUUUCGAAAAAUGCUCAUAACUUCUAUGUUGCUUCGGAUGUAACCUUCAUAUUUGUUAUGCAUGUGUAUAUGGACAAGGCCUUUCCAUACACACACAAAUUGUUACCCCUUUCACCUUGACCUUUAACUUAGGGUCCCGAAUUAGGUUUUGAAAUCUGCGUUUAGGUUUCGAAAAAUGCUCAUAACUUCUAUGUCGCUUCAGAUGUAACCUUUAUACUUGGUUUGCAUGUGUAUAUGGACAAGGCCUUUUCAUACCCACACAAAUUUUGACCCCUUUGACCUUGAACAUACUGCUGUGUUUAGGUUUCGAAAUCUGCGUUAAGGUUUGAGUUGUAACCUUUUUAUUUGGUUUGCAUGUGUAUCUGCCCAAGACCUUUCAAUAACCAAAAACAUUUUGACCCUGUGACCUUAACCCUUGUGCCUGUGUUAAGGUUUUGAAAAAUGCUAAUAUAACUCUUUGUCUCUUGAAGUAUAACCUUCACAUUUGGUAUGCAUGUGUAUAUGGAAAAGACCUUUCCAGACACACAAAAAUCUUGACUACUGUGGCCAUGACCUUAAAGUUAGGGUCGGCAUUUAGGUUACGAAAAUUUGUUCUGUUAUUUAGCUGUCUUACAUGACUAUCAAAUCGUUUUUCGGUGGCAUGUCUUUCUAUGGAGACAGCUCUUGUUAUUUGAUUCAUGCAUAUGUUUUAAUUCCAAUUUUGUAAAUGUAUGUACAUUGAACUAUGAUGCAUAUUUUAUCCAAGCCGGAAUAUGAAGUGCUUAAGGUGAACAAUUGCGAAAGGUCUUUGUGUGGAGUCCGUAAUCGUGCUGUGUGAAAAAUUAGCUUGUUACCACUCUAGAGCAACCGUUGUGGCUCAUUCUUGAUAAAUCUUGGUCAGAAUGUUUAUCUUGACAAAAUCCAGACCAAGUUUGAAUCAUUGGUUCAAGUGGGGUAAACAACUUGGCAAACAGGUAAAACCAAAAAAACUUUAUUCUACUCCAGAUUCAAUACUGAUGAAAAGCUUGGUUAGAUGUUUAUAUUCGCAAUAUCAAGGUCAAGUUAGAUUCUGGGUCACGUAGGGUCAAGCAACUAGGUAAUUAGCUAAAAUAUAUGUAAAAAAAAACUUUUGUUGUUCUCCAAAAGCCACAUAUAUGAUUGAAUGUUAAUGUUAACUUGGUCAUGGUGAUUAUAUUUGCAAUAUGUUGGUCUUGUUCGAUUUUAGGAUAAGUGGGGUCAAAUGGGAGGUCACAUGGUUAAAUCUAUGAAAAAUCUUUCUGACACUCUUGUUAAGAAAUUUAAUUAUUGAGUGAUGUACUGCGUUUUGUAUGAAACAAAAGCAGUGUUUGUUAGGUGUGCAACAUAGGGCCGUUGUGCCUCUCUUGUUGUUAUUAACAUAUAACACAUUGAAAUUUUAACAUUUAAUAUAUAUAUAUUAUAUGAGCAGACAUUCUUCAGUUGUAUAAAGACUCUUCAAGCUCCCCCCCCCCCCCCCUCCCCCCUCUGGUAUUUUGUAAGAUAUACAAACUGUAAUGAGUAUGUACAAAAUAUAUUAUUUUUCAAAUUUAAAAGCGAGAAUGUUGCAAUCACUGUUUUAUCACGGCAAUCCUUGAACGGACAAUCACACAAUAAAUUAACAAAUUUAUGAGAUGUUUAACAAGUGUGAUAUAUUUUUGUUUACAGCUCUCACAACAUGCACCUUUUCCUGGUAUAUGCUAUUUGUGUACGAAGGAAAUAAUGCAUUAUAAAAUGUUAAGAUCUACAGUUUUAUUAAUAAUUUUCAUAUGUGUAAAAAUGUGUGUUUCUUAUUAUAUAUAAAUGUAUUUCUUAUUAUGGUGUUUUUGUUUUUAUACAGAGUUUAAUUUGAAAGUUUUUUGAUAAGCCUGCUCUUAAAAAUGAAGGGUUUUCAUUCAAGCUUACAUGUAUUUAUCCCCAAUAUUAAUUAAUAUGACCCCAUACGCCAAGUAUGGUAACUGUAGUUUCACAUUUGUCAAGAUUAAAGGCAUAUUUAUUCUUUGAAAUUUGCAUCUUUAAAAAUGAGCAAGAUAAAGUUCCUUGAUGAAGUGUUUUCUCAGGAAUGGUUUAAAGUAUAUCAUUUUUACGUGUCAAAUGUAUUCCCUAUAUAGAUAUGACCGUGUAGGUCAAGCAUUGUGAGGGAGAGGUUAAGGUAACUGUUACUAAAAUAGCAGAAAGGGAUUCGAAUUAAUAUCUCUAUAACAAAGUGAGUUAUUGCUAUGAAAUUUUAUACUUUGUAUCAGGCCUAGUUUUUGAUUGCAAAUAAGGUGGGUGGUUUCAAAGUCAUUGUUAGUUAAAGAGAUAAAGAAACAUUAACUCUGCUAAAAACUCAAGAAUAUAUUAAGCGAUGGGUAAUUCAACUAAAUUAUAAAUACCUAAUUUCUAGUCAUUGCAAUUGUUGCAUGUGACAUACGUGAAGUCAUCAGGGUCAUGCCACCAUUACUUAGAAUAGAGAACAUGGAUUCUGCUUAGUUACUCAAAACAAAUUUAGAUACAUGUAUUGUAAUGUAAAUGCAAACAUAGAUGAGUUCUAUCAAAACUUCAUUUUAUAUUGCCGAUGGGGUCAAGGUCACUGUUACAAAAUAUAGAUACAUGACUUCGGGUAAAUAAUCCAAUAACAAAUUCAGCUAUUGUAUUGAGCCUACAGCCUUAUAUCUAGAUAUAGCAUGGAAUCGGAUCUGGGGUGUACGGGUAAAGGUCUCUGUUAGUACAUGUACAUUUUGAAAUUGUUUCUCCUUAAUAAUUAUAAUGAAAUUGGAUAUAGAGAAUUCUUAUAUCGAGGGAAUAUAUAUGGGACGGUUGUGAUCAAGGUCAAUAUAUAUGAUGUUGGCAUAAUAAUCCGAUAAUUUCUUUAGCUAUUGUAAUGCAGCAUAUUUAGACCAUAACAUACGGCAGUGCUGGGUUGGACGUCUAUAAUCGGCUCGCUGCCGUCAGAUCCAACUGAUGACAUUUUAGAAAAAAUCGCCGGAAACUCUGACAAAAACUGGAUAAGUCGAGCACGCUGUCACAGCUGUUGGUCCUAAUUAGAUUUUCAUUAAAUAAUAUAUUAAUGAAAUAACAUGAACUGAAAUAGAUGUUCCCAUAUUAUCAUCUUUUUGUAGAUAACGUCGAUCGCCUUUUUUGGAAAAUACUAACACUAAGUGAAUACCAAAAGCGUAAUCAAUGAAAUUGUUGAUGUUUAUUGUAUGAUUGUAUUCCUUGAAACGUCAUAACAACACAUCUGAAAAUAAAUAUAUUCUCUGUU